GGCGGGGGGGGCUAUACAUGCAAGUCGAGCGAACAGAGAAGGAGCUUGCUCCUUCGACGUUAGCGGCGGACGGGUGAGUAACACGUGGGCAACCUACCUUAUAGUUUGGGAUAACUCCGGGAAACCGGGGCUAAUACCGAAUAAUCUGUUUCACCUCAUGGUGAAACACUGAAAGACGGUUUCGGCUGUCGCUAUAGGAUGGGCCCGCGGCGCAUUAGCUAGUUGGUGAGGUAACGGCUCACCAAGGCGACGAUGCGUAGCCGACCUGAGAGGGUGAUCGGCCACACUGGGACUGAGACACGGCCCAGACUCCUACGGGAGGCAGCAGUAGGGAAUCUUCCACAAUGGGCGAAAGCCUGAUGGAGCAACGCCGCGUGAGUGAAGAAGGAUUUCGGUUCGUAAAACUCUGUUGUAAGGGAAGAACAAGUACAGUAGUAACUGGCUGUACCUUGACGGUACCUUAUUAGAAAGCCACGGCUAACUACGUGCCAGCAGCCGCGGUAAUACGUAGGUGGCAAGCGUUGUCCGGAAUUAUUGGGCGUAAAGCGCGCGCAGGUGGUUUCUUAAGUCUGAUGUGAAAGCCCACGGCUCAACCGUGGAGGGUCAUUGGAAACUGGGAGACUUGAGUGCAGAAGAGGAUAGUGGAAUUCCAAGUGUAGCGGUGAAAUGCGUAGAGAUUUGGAGGAACACCAGUGGCGAAGGCGACUAUCUGGUCUGUAACUGACACUGAGGCGCGAAAGCGUGGGGAGCAAACAGGAUUAGAUACCCUGGUAGUCCACGCCGUAAACGAUGAGUGCUAAGUGUUAGGGGGUUUCCGCCCCUUAGUGCUGCAGCUAACGCAUUAAGCACUCCGCCUGGGGAGUACGGUCGCAAGACUGAAACUCAAAGGAAUUGACGGGGGCCCGCACAAGCGGGGGAGCAUGGGGUUUAAUUCGAAGCACCCGAA
rnacentral:rRNA from 1 species